rnacentral:rRNA from 1 species
CAGUAGCCACGGUAAUACGAGGGGUGCAAGCGUUACUCGGAAUUACAGGGCGUAAAGCGUGCGUAGGUGGUGGUUUAAGUCCGUUGUGAAAGCCCUGGGCUCAACCUGGGAAUUGCAGUGGAUACUGGAUCACUAGAGUGUGGUAGAGGAUAGUGGAAUUUCCGGUGUAGCAGUGAAAUGCGUAGAGAUCGGAAGGAACAUCUGUGGCGAAGGCGACUAUCUGGGCCAACACUGACACUGAGGCACGAAAGCGUGGGGAGCAAACAGGAUUAGAUACCCGAGUAGUCCCUGUCUCUUAUAC